rnacentral:ncRNA from 1 species
UGGGGACUUCGCAGCCUCCCCAUUAAAUGGGUCCUCCCAUUCAAGCGCUGC